rnacentral:rRNA from 1 species
AACGAACGCUGGCGGCAGGCCUAACACAUGCAAGUCGAGCGAGGACUUCGGUCCUAGCGGCGGACGGGUGAGUAACGCGUGGGAACGUGCCCUUUGCUUCGGAAUAGCCCUGGGAAACUGGGAGUAAUACCGGAUGAGCCCUUUGGGGGAAAGAUUUAUCGGCGAAGGAUCGGCCCGCGUUGGAUUAGGUAGUUGGUGGGGUAAUGGCCUACCAAGCCGACGAUCCAUAGCUGGUUUGAGAGGAUGAUCAGCCACACUGGGACUGAGACACGGCCCAGACUCCUACGGGAGGCAGCAGUUGGGAAUCUUAGACAAUGGGGGAAACCCUGAUCUAGCCAUGCCGCGUGAGCGAUGAAGGCCUUAGGGUUGUAAAGCUCUUUCAGCUGGGAAGAUAAUGACGGUACCAGCAGAAGAAGCCCCGGCUAACUCCGUG